rnacentral:tRNA from 2 species
GGAGAGAUGCGAGAGCGGUCGAAUCGGGCGGUCUCGAAAACCGUUGAGCUGCUUGCGGCUCCGUGGGUUCGAAUCCCACUCUCUCCG